rnacentral:rRNA from 1 species
UACAGAGGGGGCAAGCGUUAUUCGGAAUUAUUGGGCGUAAAGGGCGCGUAGGCGGCUUUGCAAGUGACGGGUGAAAUCCCUCGGCUUAACCGAGGAACUGCCUGUCAGACUGCAUGGCUUGAGACCGGGAGAGGUGAGUGGAAUUCCCAGUGUAGCGGUGAAAUGCGCAGAUAUCAGGAGGAACACCGGUGGCAAAGGCGGCGUUCUGGACUGCAACUGACACUGAGAAACGAAAGCCAGGGUAGCAAACGGG